UAAUGAAUGUUUCAUAAAUGCCCAAAUUAUCCUCGUAGGCUUUUACAAAUGACAUCUAGUGUCCUCUUCACUUUUGCUGAACCCUCCGUCCUCUUCCCUCACGAUCAGUACUCAAUUAUUCUUCUUCUUCAUCUUGUUCUUUUUUUUUUUUCUUCUCAUCUUCUCUUCACACCUUUUUCUUGAAUUUGUCUCCACGAUUCCUGCUACCUAGAUCUAAGGUUGUAUUCUCAAACAAGGUUUUAUUCCGCAUCACCCUCAGGUCAGGUUGCUAUAAAUUUAUUGGUUUUGUUGGAUCACUAGUGUAUUUUCUUUACUCUCUUUCUGGGUUUCAAUGGAAUGCUAUGAAUUGAUUUUAUAAAAACAGAAAAGGAAAAAAAAAAAGGAGGGGGGGGGGAACUCAUCCUACCUUCUGGGUUCUAAUGAAUGAGCCACAUAUCGUAUCUGGAAAGAGGGGGCUCAUCAUACCUUCUUGAAAGAGGAUAAUUGAAAACAUCAUCAAUCUAUACUCUUUUAAUUUCUAAAUUUACUUAUUAAUUGUAUCUCCCUGUUUUUUUUGGAUCUUUCUUUCUGGGUUUCAAUAAAAUGCUAUAUUAAUUGACAAAAACAAAAACAAGGCAGUAUGUGCACACAUAGCGCAUCUGGAAAGUGAUAAUGAGGGGUCAAAGUGAAUUGGACAUUAAUUGGCAAUUGGUUGUUGUGUUGGCCAUGGAUAAAGAGGCAAGGAGGACAUUGAAUACUAGCAGCAUGAUGGGAAGAUUUUGAGUUAUUAUUAUAUCCAUA